AGCUCGUAGUUGAAGUUCUGGCUGUAUUGGGCCUUUGCACUUGAUGCGAAGGAACCAGCAGUCAUCCGCUUGCAAAUACAUGUCCCUUCCUUAACCGGUAGGCUGUAUAAGUAAGCACUUUACCUUGAGAAAAACAGAGUGUUCCAGACAGGUUUGUCCGGAAUGCGUUAGCAUGGAAUAAUAGAAUAUGACUGAAGUCGAUUUAUUGGUUUAAGGCUUUAGUAAUGAUUAAUAGGAACAAUCGGGGGCAUUGGUACUUGUCAGUCAGAGGUGAAAUUCUAGGAUUUGACAAAGACUAACUGAUGCGAAAGCGUUUGCCAAGAAUGUUUUCAUUAAUCAAGAACGAAAGUUAGGGGAUCAAAGACGAUCAGAUACCGUCCUAGUCUUAACUAUAAACUAUACCGACUCGGAUUCAGAUGAA
rnacentral:rRNA from 1 species